CAACCCCACUGCCCCAGGGAGCUGAAUCAGGGCACCAGUUGCUCCUUCACCUUCUCCUGACAUGCAGGAAACCUGGAGGAACAAAAUCUGCUGGAAAUCACCCAAAACAGUCUGGACAUGGGCACAGGUGGAGUGGGGCCCAUUUCUACCCAGCCAGCACCCCCUCACACCCCAAAAAUGUCCUAAGGGGCCUGCAAGGACAGCUCCAAAGAUCCCCCUGGCUCCAAACGAAGGCAGAGGCUCGGCAGCGGUCACGGGAUUCCAGGAGCUGCUGCUUUAAAAAGAAAAUAAGGGGGCCCGGGAUUUGUUUGAGCCAUCGUUGUCUCAGUGAGUGACUUCGAAUAAGGGAUCCACUUGAGAAAAUCACCAUCUGCUCCCGGACAAUUCUCAACCAGAGGAAAAAGGUGAAAUAAAUUCAGAGAUU